rnacentral:rRNA from 1 species
UGGGGAAUAUUGCACAAUGGGCGCAAGCCUGAUGCAGCCAUGCCGCGUGUGUGAAGAAGGCCUUAGGGUUGUAAAGCACUUUCAGCGAGGAGGAAGGCGUUGUAGUUAAUAGCUGCAACGAUUGACGUUACUCGCAGAAGAAGCACCGGCUAACUCCGUGCCAGCAGCCGCGGUAAUACGGAGGGUGCAAGCGUUAAUCGGAAUUACUGGGCGUAAAGCGCACGCAGGCGGUUUGUUAAGUCAGAUGUGAAAUCCCCGAGCUUAACUUGGGAACUGCAUUUGAAACUGGCAAGCUAGAGUCUUGUAGAGGGGGUUAGAAUUCCAGGUGUAGCGGUGAAAUGCGUAGAGAUCUGGAGGAAUACCGGUGGCGAAGGCGGCCCCUGGACAAAGCUGACGCUCA